rnacentral:rRNA from 1 species
UACGUAGGGGGCAAGCGUUGUCCGGAAUUAUUGGGCGUAAAGAGCGUGUAGGCGGCCAGGUAGGUCUGCUGUGAAAACUCGAGGCUCAACCUCGAGACGUCGGCGGAAACCAUCUGGCUAGAGUCCGGAAGAGGAGAGUGGAAUUCCUGGUGUAGCGGUGAAAUGCGCAGAUAUCUGGAGGAACACCGGUGGCGAAGGCGGCAUCCUGGACCAACACUGACACUGAGGAGCGAAAGCCAGGGGAGCAAACGGG